AGCAGUGAUGGGACAAUCUGGAGAAGGGAUUGUCGGAACCUUUGCAGAGCUGGUGUGACCAGGGAAACAGGAUGUUGGUGGAGUGAUUUGAACCACGCAGCCUGGGACGAAGCCCGAGGUCACAACAGACGUAGAUGACAAUACACUCCUUCAGUUUUUGCCAAAAUGUAAAUCCAUCCCCAGAUUGAAUGCAAUCUGCAGCUGCUGAGAUCCAGUGUGGACUAGGAAAACUAGGGUGACAAAGAAAUACAGACAUGGGCAGCUCUUUCUGUGAUGCUGGGUGACAGUAUUCCUGCCAGUGGCUGAUCCAGAGAAAUAAGUGAGCUGACGUCCUGGGGACCAUCACUAAACCAAUUUGUCUCUUGAAUCAGGAAGGACUCCCUGGGCUCAAUCUUGCAAGAAAAAACUAGCACUUACUCCCAAGUCUGUAGGAUUUGGCUUUGCAUGUGCUGAAUUUGCUACAUUCUCCAGGGACCAGGGUCCAUAUAUAGGCCUUUUUCAAAAUAACUGAGAAAAAAAGUCAUUAUGCAAUUUAUUAGUGAUACGUAAACGGUAGGUAAUUUUGAUGACCAAAAGUUGCAAGAGAAAUCAUAAUGGCAAAUCUGUUUCAGUGCUGGGCUCUACACGUCAAAUGGGUAAACAGCGAAAGGCUACAAGAGUUUUGUUUGCAGUUCCAAACCUUGUUUUUUAAAGUUGUUGGAAAUCCAAGAACAUGUUUGUAUGUGAGUCUUUUCAGACCUGGGCUUAUGAUUGCAUUAUCAUUCGCAUGCCCCUGGCAUGCUUUAAGGAACAGUUGUUGAAUCCCAUAAGAAUAGGAACAUUUUAAAUGGCCAAAAGGCAUGUCAGAAAAUAUAUAUUUUUCAUUUAUAAUGGAAUAAUUUGUCUAAGAUUUGGACAUAAAUGAUAGAAAUAUUUUUUACCAGGCUAUAUUGCUAAUGCAAGAAAAGUAGGCCUAAAAAUGGAUUUUAUACCAUAGUAAUAAAAAAACCAAUAAUUUUACUUUAACAUAAAUUGUCACAAAUAGACAAGAGAAAGCAUGCCAAGGCCGUUUGAAAAGUCCAGUGCUAUGCCCAUAUCAUUAAUUAGGAUAGCAGUGUGGUCUAGUGGUUUAAACAGGAAUCUGUGAGCCAAGAUUUCCUGGAUGUUGUUCCUGGCUACACCAGGGCUGCUGUGUGUCUUUGGCACAUCUUGUAACCUCUCUUUAGCCCUCAGUUUGCUCCCUCUGUAAAAUAACACAUGGAAGAAAUAGGAGUUUUUUGACGGUGAGCUAAUACUGGUAAAGUUUUUUUCAGAUUCCUUGAUAAAAAGUGCUAUAGAGAUACUUAGUGUUAUACAAACAGACCACAAAGCCGUGUUAUAAUGAGAGGGUUAAGGAUCCUAACUUUAAACUAACGAAGGAAAUUUAGAAUUAAGUCUGGCACUUCCAUGUAGAGGAAACACAGUGAGUUCGCACUAAGUUACCACCAGUAUCACUCUAUUGGAUUUGAAUUAGGAGUUGUUCUCUGCUUCCCUGCAGAAAUAGUAGAGGGGUUGGCUUGCAGAACCUGUGUGUCUAAGGGGAACCACUGAAGGACAGGGUCAUGGAUGUGGAGAUCUUGGGCCUACAUACUGACUCCUGGCCCAUUUGAUACUCUUUCUGUGCAUGGUUCUUAUCUCAGGACUAGAAUUUAACAUUUAAAUACAUAUUACUUGCUCAGAUAUAGUCACUCCUCCAGAAAAACUGGUUGUAGACAGGAAUAUUCAUUGCUUUCCUAUGGCCUCUUUAACAGUCUCAUCUCUAUUAGAGGUAGACUGUUGACUUCCCAACUCCUCCCUUUGAAAUGUCCUGUGUAACAGCAGAGUAGACUACCUCUCUGCCCAGGUUAUAGUCUUGGCUUUGCUGCUACAGCAAUAGAGGUUUUCUUCAAGGACAAUCUUUCAAACAGCAUAUAAAAGAUCAGCUAUGCAAAAAGUUUGGUGCUUAUUUUCACCAACCAGUAUUGAAAAUAUAGACAUGUGGACACUAACCCCAAAAUUUUCCAGGGCUAUUGUUAAACCCUUUUAAGGUACAAUAACAGUUUUCCCUGAAACAAACAACCCCCAAACAAAACGCAGCAUUUUAAGGCAAAACAAGCCUUGGGCAAAUCUAAGCAUAGCCUCAGCAUUCAUUAUACAUUAGAAAGCACUCACUCCUGUAGCUGCAGGUAAUCCAAAUACACCAGAGUGACACUCUUUCACAAGAAUUUCCAUUAUAUAUUGCACUAUUAAAAGGAGAAUGAUCAUUGCAGGGAAUCUUCAAAUACUUCAAACUUAAUAUAUGUGUGCCUACUAGAACUAUGGGAGCUAAAACUGAUUUUUAUAGCUUGAUGUUCUGGCAACAAAGGUUUUUAGCAGAACCAACCAUCAACAUAAUUUAUCUGACCACAUAACAUAUAUAUUGGGGAAAAAGAGAGAUACACAUAAGGGAGGAUUUCUUGUUUUGGGAAAUUUAAUAAAAGGUUUGAAUUUAAGCCUUCAGGUAAGACUUCCUGUUAGAAUUAACAUCUUGAUGACAUAUGUUUUAUUUUUUGCUUUAGAAAUAAUGAUACAGGUAAUAUGAUACAAUCUAAUAAGGGGGGAAGAAAUACUAUAGUCAAUGCAAAGCUGUUGUUAAAGGAAAAAAACACUUUGGCUCAGAAACAUGAAUUAUACAUAUUGUCAGCCAACACACUAAACAAAAUUCUCAUUCUUAGCAUUAGAAAAAUCAGAAAUUAUAGAGCAGCUUUUCCUAGAGGCCAAAUUUAAAAAAUUGUGAAGAUCAGAACAUCAAAUAUUAAGGUAUAUGAUAACAGAAACCCAGUCAGUAAAGAAUGUUCAUGUCCCAGUUACUGUUCCAAAGCUAUAUAUUUACCAAGGAAAUCUAAAAGAAAGAUCAUUCGCAUUUGGGAAUAAUUGCAUUUGAAAGUAAACCUUCCUCUGAAUUAUCCAGAUGACUUUCUGACCAGAUUUCCCCCACUUCCUUUUUUAAAUUGCUCAGGUAAUCUUUUUUUAGCCACUUCUGAAGUGAAAUAACAGUUUAUGAAAAGAAGGUUGGGGCUAGAUUCUCUGCUGGUGUAACUCCACUGACUUCAAUGCAUGUCUAUUAGGAGAGAGUUUGAUCUCUCCUUGUUGCAACUGGUGGUGGAAUUGUGGAGAAAUAGGACACAACGACCCAAACUGGAAUUUAUCUAAGGCGCCAGGGAUAAGGCCAUAAUCUUGCAAGUACCACUAUGACCACAAAUGCCUCAAAUCCUGUAUGAUAAAAAUAAACUUCCUUUCCCAACAGCACAUUGUGGGCAUUAGUUCAAUAACAGACCCACUGGGGGAG